UUGAGAGUCACAAUCCAUGGUGGAUUGGGCUCACGAGCAUGUCGCAUGGAUCGAUCGGGUGUUUUCUGCCCAAUUUCUCACGACCCAUGUGGACUGGUGUAUGGUUUCUCACCUAUUUCUCAUGGCUCAUGAUGUUUUGGUGGGCUAAGGACUCAUGUGUUGUGCGAUCAGAUGAUCAACAUGGGUCGCAAUCAGGAUCUGACGGCUUGGAGAGGUUCUGGAGUUUUGAUAGAAGUGUUUCUCCAAUCUAAACCCUAUUUGAGGCCUUUAAAGGCCCUGUGGGCAAAACAGAGGUCUUGGGAGUGGGCAUGGUUCGAUAGUGAGCCCUAAACAAUAGCAGCAGAUUGAGUGGAGCCGACAGAGAGCAGAAGCAAGGGUUCUUCAGGCAGCGGACAGCGGUCAUUCCAGAGGUUCACGAGAUCUCCUAGAG
rnacentral:lncRNA from 1 species